AGCUUCGCGCAGUGGCAGGAUCGUAGCCAAUGAGGUUUAUCCGAGGCGCAAUUAUUGCUAAUUGAAAAGUAUUUGCGGGCCGGUAGGACUUCAAAACUCAGGAAAAAAAAAAUGAAAGACUGUAAGGCAGCAGAUAGU